ACACCAAGUGGGUCAAAACCCUUCGUCCGGGAGACCGCCCCCGACCAGUGAGUCACUGCGCCCGGGCGAGAGGCCUGCCUUUCCAGCCCUUGGUUCUGUGGGAGAACAAGGGACACGGGGAGCACCCCCGGAUCCUGGCACCUUUCAGCCUUCAUGCCGUCACCCCAACAAGGACAUCACCAGCACCUCCCGGAGCCUGCAGCAACGGGGCUCAGGGCGAUUUCUUAAGGCACUUGGUCCCAGACAAGCAAACGGAUGCAUUUACUGAGCACCCGUUUAGUCAAGAUGUGCAACGCCCCUACUGCACGCCGGGCAGCGUGCUGGGUACAUGGUAUGAGGACCACAGACCCAGCCGCUGCCCCGGGAGCCGGCAGCAUCCCAGGAGUCACAUGACACGUGCAUCACAGCGAGUCCACCCAUGAGAGGCAGCUGGGCUUGCAGGCAGGGCAACCGAGACCACUUCCCCGGGGAAGUGACCACAGAGGCUUAACGGAGGAGAGGGAGGCAGGA